GCGGGACCUAGCUAACAGGGCCUCACCUGAAAAGGACUUCACCGGACGGGGCCCCAGCUGAGAGCAGCCUCACCUGGGGGGACCUCAGCUGUAGGGCCUCACCUGAAACGGCCUUUCCUGAGACGGUCCGAAGGGUCCUUGGCAUCGCAGACAUCCGUGUGGCCAUGGCAGACGCCCGCGUGGCCAUGGCAGACGCAGCAGCCGCCGAUGCUGAUGUCCUUGGUGCUGUAAUAAUACUGCACUGCAGGCCCCUGAGCGCCAGGGCCUCAGGUCCUGGCUGCCCCACAUGCUAGACAGGGUGGGAUCACCUGGUGCAUGACUGUGGGGUCCCGCAGGGCCUUGCCCAUGAGGUGACCCAGCAGUGUGUUGGUGCGCAGGAAACGUAGGCGGAUGUUGGUGGCUUUGGUGAAGUUGCGCAGCAGUGGCGAAGUAGGAGUAGUUCAUGGCCCCUGGGCGCCCAUUCACCAGGAACACCACGAUCUGCAGAAGGUGUGGACGGUGAGGCCAGGUGUGGCCGCCAGGAGCAGACCUGCAGAACCCACCACCACGCUGUCCUCGGACUCACCUCGCCGUUCUCCAGGGACACUAUGCACCUCACUUGACUGCUGGUAACUGAAACUAAGUAUAGGUGCACGUGCCCACUGAUGACGAGAGCAAGACGUCUUAGCCGAAACGUCUUCCUUCCAAACUCCUGGGAGAAAAGACAAGAGGGAAAAUAUGCGAGCAUUAUAAAAGUAUGCCUAUCGCUGAUACUUUCUUAAACCACAGGUGUGCGGGAUCUCCUCCCGUUAGAUGUCAGAUGCAGACUGACUGACUGAUAGACAACCUACUUGGAAUGCAAAUUUGCGGUGCUCUUGCCAAAUUGGCAAGGGCUGGUCCUGUUCUUGUCGAGGUGCUGUUUGCCUGUGCACAGAACGGGAGUGCAGCACCUGUCUGCAAUUCCUCCUGACGAUGGAUUAAAAAGAUGCUAGAAGCAGGUGGCCGGUUUUGAGGCCGCAGAACCAGCGGCGCUCGGACCGCAGAGCCGGCUGCCCCUCGGCGCGCGUGCGGACGGAGGGCGCCUGCGGCUGCGCGGGAACGCGCUGAAGCGCUGCGGGCAGCGCGCGGGAGCCGGGACGGAGCGGAGCUAAAGAAGUAAACAGCUCAUGGCACAUUUAACAAAAAGAUGACAGGCGGAUACAAAAGCUAUCCAGCAUCUUUGGGCAGCCAUUGAGAUUAUACAGAACCAGAAGCAAAUUGCCAACAUUGACCAUAUUACCAAGACUGUCGUGCUCCAGCUCCUGAGGACUUUACCAUGGAUCCGUGCGUUACUGUGAAUCGUCUCACGUGAGGAUGUCUCACCCUGUCCAUUGCAGCUGCAAGAUUUCCAAUCAAGAUGUAAAGGGUGAAGAAUCAAAGAACAAAGAAUCAGUAACAAGUGAAAUUUAAGCCUUCAGUCAUGCAGAUUCCUAAUAUGAUUCAUAACUCAUUGUCAUGUUAUUUCUCUAAAUGCCAUGUAUAGUUUAAUGUCCAAUAAAAUCAAGUUACAUAUAUCA